GACGAACGCUGGCGGCGUGCUUAACACAUGCAAGUCGAACGGAAAGGCCCUGCUUUUGUGGGGUGCUCGAGUGGCGAACGGGUGAGUAACACGUGAGUAACCUGCCCUUGACUUUGGGAUAACUUCAGGAAACUGGGGCUAAUACCGGAUAGGAGCCCCUGCUGCAUGGUGGGGGUUGGAAAGUUUCGGCGGUUGGGGAUGGACUCGCGGCUUAUCAGCUUGUUGGUGGGGUAGUGGCUUACCAAGGCUUUGACGGGUAGCCGGCCUGAGAGGGUGACCGGCCACAUUGGGACUGAGAUACGGCCCAGACUCCUACGGGAGGCAGCAGUGGGGAAUAUUGCACAAUGGGCGGAAGCCUGAUGCAGCAACGCCGCGUGCGGGAUGACGGCCUUCGGGUUGUAAACCACUUUCGCCUGUGACGAAGCGUGAGUGACGGUAAUGGGUAAAGAAGCACCGGCUAACUACGUG
rnacentral:rRNA from 1 species